CCCUCCCACUUUCAGGCUGCAUUGCUUCUGUCCUCCUCCGGUUGCGUCGUUCACUCCUUUCUCGCGCGUUUUUUUUCUUUGCGUGUACCGCUAUCCCACAUUCCCACACUAGGGAAAGGCUGCGAGAAACAGAACAACUCCCCACAGGUCGAAACCGAAAGAAAAGUGAUGUCUGCUGUGGAAAUCAACGAGGCAGCGACUGCGCCGUUAAAUGACAAUGACCAGUUUUUCAAGGAUCUCACCUGGACGCAGCGAAUUCAAGGCUUCUGCGUCCUCAUGUCGCUAGCGCUCUUUUCGACGCUGAUGAGCUGGUUUGCUCUCGGUAUGGGGUCCUACUGGAAGUACAGCAUGCUAUCCUCCCUUGGUAGCUUUCUCUCUAUGCUGAGCACCGUCAUCCUCAUGGGUCCCUCAGCGCAGCUUGCGUACAUGUUCGACGAGUACCGCUUCAAUGCCACGGUGCUCUACAUCGGCUCUAUGUUUUUCGCUUUCUUUGUAGCUGUCAUCUUCAAGUCAGUCUUGCUGUGCUUCCUGUGCGGUGUCCUGCAGUACUCCGCCUUGGUGUGGUAUUCCCUGUCGUACGUCCCCUACGGCCGCGAGACACUUGUGAACAUCGUUCUGCGCCGUUAAGGCGACGGGUGUCACGCUAGGGUCGGGGGUGUGGGGACGGAACGAGAUCGUACCUCUUGGUCUAGCGCACAUCACCGUCGGUGUUUCCUCUAGAUUCAGGAAAAAAAAUUCACUUGCUUUGUGCUUCUUGGUGCGUCCCGACAUCGGAGCAGUUGUGUCACGUACAG
rnacentral:misc_RNA from 1 species